rnacentral:rRNA from 1 species
UGGGGAAUUUUGGACAAUGGGCGAAAGCCUGAUCCAGCAAUGCCGCGUGUGUGAAGAAGGCCUUCGGGUUGUAAAGCACUUUUGUCCGGAAAGAAAUCCUUGGCUCUAAUACAGUCGGGGGAUGACGGUACCGGAAGAAUAAGCACCGGCUAACUACGUGCCAGCAGCCGCGGUAAUACGUAGGGUGCAAGCGUUAAUCGGAAUUACUGGGCGUAAAGCGUGCGCAGGCGGUUUGCUAAGACCGAUGUGAAAUCCCCGGGCUCAACCUGGGAACUGCGUUGGUGACUGGCAGGCUAGAGUAUGGCAGAGGGGGGUAGAAUUCCACGUGUAGCAGUGAAAUGCGUAGAGAUGUGGAGGAAUACCGAUGGCGAAGGCAGCCCCCUGGGCCAAUACUGACGCUCAUGCACGAAAAGCGUGGGGAGCAAAACAGGAUUAGAUACCCUGGUAGUCCACGCCCUAAAACGAUGUCAACUAGUUGUUGGGGAUUCAUUUCCUUAGUAACGUAGCUAACGCGUGAAGUUGACCGCCUGGGGAGUACGGUCGCAAGAUUAAAACUCAAAGGAAUUGACGGGGUCAUAGCUGUUUCCU